AACGUAGGACGCAAGCGUUAUCCGGAGUUACUGGGCGUAAAGGGCGUGUAGGCGGCAAUUCAAGUGGCUCGUGAAAGACCUCGGCUCAACCGGGGGGUGUCGGGUCAGACUGGAUAGCUAGAGGAUGUCAGAGGGACACGGAAUUCCGGGUGUAGUGGUGAAAUGCGUAGAGAUCCGGAGGAACACCAGUGGCGCAGGCGGUGUCCUGGGGCGUACCUGACGCUGAGACGCGAAAGCAUGGGGAGCGAACGGG
rnacentral:rRNA from 1 species